CAACUCUACUCUCUCCCUCACCCUCCUCCCCGACGGCCUCUCUCCUCUCCCCGCCGCCGCACUCUCUCUCCCACCUCUCUGCCUCUCUGCCGCCACCCCCUCCUCUUCUCCCACUUCGUCUGCCUCUGCCGCCCUGACUGCUCCCGCGGGAUCCAGAUCCGUCACGGGGGGCAGCGGCGCCCCAUUCCUCCGCUCGGAUCUACCACGGAGCUCCACCAUGCAUGCCGCCCCUCGUCCGCCCGACCUCACCCUAGCGCUCCUCAACUAGGUCCCAGGCGUCACCGCCUAAGACCUCCUGCACCACCCAGAGCUUGGACGCCGAUGCAGCACGGUCCGGCCGACGCCGGUGCUUGGGCGGGCACAACAGCCCAGCUCAGACGCAGCAUGGGCUGCUGCAGCAUGGAGCAGCAAGCAGAAGGCCACGGGGGCGCGUCGCGGUGGGUCGGUCCCGGCCGAUGGCGAGAGGGCGGCGCGUCCUUUGGCUCCGUCUGUUGUUCUUGCAGUGUUGAUCGAUCAGUGCCAUGUGCAAGAAACAGAUAGCAAGUGAUUUCCCCCAAAUUCCCAGCCCGCAAUCAGACCACAAGUGCUUCCUCAUGAGUCAUAAUCCACAUCCCCUAUCUCUCCAUUAUUAUUUUGCCACGAGAUCUGCUCAUAUCACUUUUUAUCAGAAAUGUGCAUUGUAGGUCUGGAUCCAUGUACUGCUCCAUUCCUCAUCCCUGAAAUUUUUGUGUUGCUGCUAUAGUAACGAGAAAUAAUCCCCUU